rnacentral:rRNA from 1 species
UACGUAGGGGGCUAGCGUUGUCCGGAAUCAUUGGGCGUAAAGCGCGCGCAGGCGGCCCUUUAAGUCUGACGGUGAAAUGCCGGGGCUCAACCCCGUGCCCGCCGCGGAUACUGGAGGGCUGGAGACACGUAGAGGCAAGCGGAAUUCCGGGUGUAGCGGUGGAAUGCGUAGAGAUCCGGGAAGAACACCGGAGGCGAAAGGCGGCUUGCUGGGCG